UAUCCGGUAGCUUAGUGGUUAGAGCGUCCCCUCAGAUGAGAACGGUCGUGGGUUCGAUCCCCGGUCGAUUCA